rnacentral:rRNA from 1 species
AGGACGAACGCUGGCGGCGUGCUUAACACAUGCAAGUCGAGCGGAAAGGCCCUUCGGGGUACUCGAGCGGCGAACGGGUGAGUAACACGUGAGCAAUCUGCCCUUAGCUUCGGGAUAGCUCCGGGAAACCGGAAUUAAUACCGAAUAUGACUGUGGUCGACAUCUGCCACGGUGGAAAGUUUUUCGGCUAGGGAUGAGCUCGCGGCCUAUCAGCUUGUUGGUGGGGUAAUGGCCUACCAAGGCGACGACGGGUAGCCGGCCUGAGAGGGCGACCGGCCACACUGGGACUGAGACACGGCCCAGACUCCUACGGGAGGCAGCAGUGGGGAAUAUUGCGCAAUGGGCGAAAGCCUGACGCAGCGACGCCGCGUGGGGGAUGAAGGCCUUCGGGUUGUAACCCCUUUCAGCAGGGACGAAGCGAAAGUGACGGUACCUGCAGAAGAAGCGCCGGCUAACUACGCGCCAGCAGCCGC